GUGCUUGCUUUAGCUGCACAUAUACUAAAAUUGGAACAAUAAAGAGAAGUAGCAUGGCCCCUAUGCAAGAAUGACAUGCAAACUCAUUAAGUGUUCCUUAUUUUG